CCUUGAAGGCUAGCAUGCAAGUGCUGUUGGCUAGCUCGCAAGGACAGCAACCUGCCUCCACCAACAGAAAGCAGCCCCGCACAUGCGUUCACGCACGGUGUCUUGUUGUGUGCCUAAGAAUGGGUUAAUGCAAGUCAAACACCUUCAAGACCAGCAGGAGCCUCUCACACUCCAUCCACACCUUCACUACAGGGAAUGGUUGAUUACAAGAUGAAAAAACGCAUCUUGCAAGAAUGGGAGCCACCACUUACGGGCAAGCUGCUUUUGACUAGAGAGCAAACAAAGAACCUGCUCAAGUUGGCCUGUGCUGAAGAACCUGCAGCCUGGACUCAGCUGUCCUGAGAGCUGACGGAACCCCACUGCUGAGUGGUCCUGGGAACCCCAUCUCCUGCCCUGUGCACUCAAGCUGGGAGACUGAGGCUUAAGCUUCUGGCCGUGCUGGGAGGUGAGAAGGCUCUGACCCAGGGUGAACUCCAGAGAAUGCACCUUCUCUGUGUAAGCACUGGGUACACAAUGCAUAGGAAUUAUCAAGAUGUGUUUAUGUGUGUGCAUAUAUUUUUAGGAGUUUUAAAAAUAUGACAAUAUCAAUUCAUUAAACUUGGA